rnacentral:rRNA from 1 species
ACGCCUUAUACAUGCAAGUCGAACGAAGUAGUAAUACUUAGUGGCAGACGGGUGAGUAACAUGUGGGUAUCUUCCCUUUGGUGAGGAAUAACACGAGGAAACUUGUGCUAAUACCUCAUAAGUCUAUACGGAGAAAGCUUUAUGCGCCGAAGGAUGAGCCUGCACUUGAUUAGUUUGUUGGUGGGGUAAUGGCCUACCAAGACUUUGAUCUAUAGCUGAUCUGAGAGGAUGAUCAGCCACAUUGGGACUGAGACACGGCCCAAACUCCUACGGGAGGCAGCAGUAGGGAAUAUUGCACAAUGGAGGAAACUCUGAUGCAGCGAUGCCGCGUGAGUGAAGAAGGCCUUUGGGUUGUAAAGCUCUUUCGUCGGGGAAGAAAAUGACUGUACCCGAAUAAGAAGGUCCGGCUAACUUCGUGCCAGCAGCCGCGGUAAUACGAAGGGACCUAGCGUAGUUCGGAAUUACUGGGCUUAAAGAGUUCGUAGGUGGUUAAAAAAGUUGGUGGUGAAAUCCCAGAGCUUAACUCUGGAACUGCCAUCAAAACUUUUUAGCUAGAGUAUGAUAGAGGAAAGCAGAAUUUCUAGUGUAGAGGUGAAAUUCGUAGAUAUUAGAAAGAAUACCGAUUGCGAAGGCAGCUUUCUGGAUCAUUACUGACGCUGAGGAACGAAAGCAUGGGUAGCGAAGAGGAUUAGAUACCCUCGUAGUCCAUGCCGUAAACGAUGUGUGUUAGACGUUGGAAAUUUAUUUUCAGUGUCGCAGCGAAAGCAUUAAACACACCGCCUGGGGAG